rnacentral:rRNA from 1 species
GACAGAGGGUGCGAACUUUGUUCGGAAUUACUGGGCGUAAAGCGCAUGUAGGCGGCAGCGCAAGUCGGGCGUGAAAUCCCACGGCUCAACCGUGGAAGUGCACUCGAAACUGCGCAGCUAGAGUCCUGGAGAGGAAGGUGGAAUGCUUGGUGUAGAGGUGAAAUUCGUAGAUAUCAAGCGGAACACCGGUGGCGAAGGCGGCCUUCUGGACAGUGACUGACGCUGAGAUGCGAAAGCGUGGGGAGCAAACAGG